CGCGGUAUUUUGACCGUGCGAAGGUAGCAUAAUCAUUAGUCUUUUAAUUGAAGGCUUGUAUGAAGGGUUGGACGAGAAAUUAGCUGUCUUUGUAGGAAUGAUAGAACUUGACUUUUAAGUGAGAAGGCUUAAAUGUUCUAAAGGGACGAUAAGACCCUAUAAAGUUUGACGGUCUGGGUUUUAAAGGACAAAUUAGGUAAUUAGAGUUUGUUAGGAACGGGGUGUUUUGUUGGGGCGAUAAUAAUAUAAAUAAUUUAACUGUUUGUGGUUGAUGACAAAGGUAGUUGGGUUUGUGAUCCUUGUUGAAGAUUGUUAGAAUAAAUUACUUUAGGGAUAACAGCGUAAUUUUUUUUGAGAGUUCUUAUCGACAGAGAAGUUUGCGACCUCGAUGUUGAAUUAAAAGUUCUUUGUGGCGUAGCAGUUAGGAGAGAAGGUCUGUUCGA
rnacentral:rRNA from 1 species